rnacentral:tRNA from 1 species
GCCCGGGUGGCGGAAUUGGUAGACGCGUGCGUUUCAGGGGCGUAUGCUGGCAACAGCGUGGGGGUUCGAGUCCCCCCCCGGGCACCA